UACGUAGGGACCAAGCGUUGUUCGGAUUUACUGGGCGUAAAGGGCGCGUAGGCGGCAUGACAAGUCACUUGUGAAAUCUCCGGGCUUAACUCGGAACGGCCAAGUGAUACUGUCAAGCUAGAGUGCAGAAAGGGCAAUCGGAAUUCUUGGUGUAGCGGUGAAAUGCGUAGAUAUCGAGAGGAACACCGAUGGCGAAGGCAGGUCUCUGGGCAUUAACUGACGCUGGAGGCGCGAAAGCGUGGGGAGCGAACAGG
rnacentral:rRNA from 1 species